GGAGAAAUGCUUAAUAAAAAGAAGAAGAGAAAAAACGAACAUGAAAAGAUGCUCUUACUAAUAUCCGGACAUUUAGUGGGCGCAGUAUAUGACACAUCUUCCUCCCGAACAUGAUUACGUUCACAAAUAAACGGAAGUAAACACAUCUUCCUCCCGAACAUGAUUACAUUCACAAAUAAACAGAAGUAACACUGGACGGCUCGCAUUAUUCUGGUUUUCGAUACACGGUAGAGCUCUUUUUACCCGGUGCAGAUACCGUAGCACCAU
rnacentral:lncRNA from 1 species